UACCAUUAAUUUGGGUCUCUGACCAUUGG
rnacentral:piRNA from 1 species